AUUGAACGCUGGCGGCAGGCCUAACACAUGCAAGUCGAACGAGUGGCGGACGGGUGAGUAAUGUCUGGGAAACUGACUGUUGGAGGGGGAUAACUACUGGAAACGGUAGCUAAUACCGCAUACCAUCGGAUGUGCCCAUAUGGGAUUAGCUAGUAGGGGGGGUAAAGGCUCACCUAGGCGACGAGCCCUAGCUGGUCUGAGAGGCUGACCAGCCACACUGGAACUGAUACACGGUCCAGACUCCUACGGGUGGCAGCAGUGGGGAAUAUUGCACAAUGGGCGCAAGCCUGAUGCAGCCAUGCCGCGUGUAUAAAGAGGGCCUUCGGGUUGUAAAGUACUUUCAGCGGGGAGGCGUUACCCGCAGAAGAAGCCCCGGCUAACUCCGUGCCAGCAGCCGCGGUAAUUC
rnacentral:rRNA from 1 species